UACGUAGGGUGCAAGCGUUACUCGGAAUUAUUGGGCGUAAAGCGCAUGCAGGCGGUUUGGUAAGUUUGAUGUGAAAGCCCCGGACUCAAUUCGGGAAGUGCAUUGAAUACUGCCAGACUAGAGUGCAGGAGGGGUGAGCGGAAUUCCAGGUGUAGAGGUGAAAUUCGUAGAUAUCUGGAGGAACAACAGCGGCGAAGGCGGCUCACUGGACUGUAACUGACGCUCAGAUGCGAAAGCGUGGGGAGCAAAC
rnacentral:rRNA from 1 species